ACCAGGUGACGCUUGACACCGGCGUUGACUCGUCAAGAAUCGCUUCAACUGUGAUUGACUCUACGCCGUUCUGUAUUUUCACCGUCGACAGUGUACUUCUCCCUGAGGAGUUGUUCGGGAAAUCUCCUUCUCCGGCACCGGGACCUGCACCGGAGACUUCUCCGUCACCUGCACCUGAGGGAGCUUCCCCUGGCCCUGCUCCGGAGGCCAGCUCUCCUUCUCCAAUGAUGUCUCCUCCGGCGCCGCCUACCUCGUCUCCGG
rnacentral:lncRNA from 1 species